rnacentral:rRNA from 1 species
AAUUAUUAUUAGAUUUUUAAAUAAUUAUUCACGAAAUAAAUUGAGCUAAAUUUUUGGUAUUUUUGGAAAUUAUAACUAUAUGUUACAAAAUAUAUUAACUAAAUAGAUUUAGGGGUGAAAGGCCUAUCAAAUUUUAUGAUAUCUUGAAGUAUAUAAAAUAUAUCAAGUAUUUCUAAUUCAACUAUUGAAUGUUUAGGUUCAAUAGUAACAUUAUAUUUUUUAAAAAAUUGAACAAUUUUUUUAAGUAAAAUUGAGUUAGAGCAUAAAAUAUACAUCAAAUUUUUAUUAUAUGAAUAUAAAUAUACUACGGUUAUUAAUAAAUAUAAUCAUAUAUAAUGUAAUUAUUAGUAAUAGUUUAUUAAACUAUAUAAAGGAAUUCGGCAAGAAAAUUUUUCACCUGUUUAUCAAAAACAUAGCUUAUUGAAUAUCAUAAUAAGUAACCCCUGCUCAAUGGAAAUCUAAAUAGCCGCAGUACCUUGACUGUGCAAAGGUAGCAUAAUCAAUUGGCUUAUAAUUGAAGUCUGGAAUGAAUGGGUAAUCUGGAAAAUAACUGUCUUUAUUUGUAGUAUUUUUGAAUUUACUUAUAAAGUGAAAAUACUUUAAUAUAAAUAUAAGACGAGAAGACCCUAGAAAUUUUUUGUUAAUAACUUUUGUUGGGGCGACAGGGUAACAUAUAAACUUACUUACAUUUAUAUAAAUCUUAUAAGGUACGUAACUAAAUUACUCUAGGGAUAACAGCAUAAUAUAUAAAAGUUUAUGACCUCGAUGUUGGACUAGGUAAUUAAAUAUUUAAAAGAUAUCUUAAUUUGCUCUGUUCGAGCAGUACCACCUACAU